CGGGAGCCCGGCGCGCGCUGCGGAGCGAACCAUUGAUCGCCGGGCCGCGGGGGUGGGAGAGCUGCCGCUAGGACCAGCCGCCCCGCGCCCAACUCCCCCAGCCCCGGCUUCCUCUUCGGCCCUGCCUUGGCGGCUGCGCCCGCCGGGCUCCGCCGCCCCUCCUCAGCCCGGGAGCCGGUUGAGUGCCCCCCGCGCGGCCCAGAUGGACUCUCCCCGCUCGGCGGCGGCAGCCCUGGGCCCGCCCAUGGAGAGGAGGCGGGCGUCGGUCGGGCCCCGCCCCCAGCCCCGCCCCUUCCCGCGCGGUCAGGCGCGUACUGGCGGAGGGGUGGCCACGUGCUGGCGCCGCGUCCGCACCUUUGUUGUCCCAGGACUCUCCUGCGGGCUCGGAGCCGGCGCGGUCGCUGCGGGUUCUUGCGACCCAGUUUUGGGUCAUGACACAUGGGUUGAGAAAGGCCGCUCCAGAGGCAUCGCUGCUGAUACCCCUCCAGACUCUCGAGAUGACGAGCACGUUUCACAUCUGUCGAGGACAGGGGGGUUGACGACUGCUUCAUUGCCGGCGGAGUCCAGCAGCGGCAGUGACUCCUUAGCCAAGAUCCAACGCACGUGGGCAGGAGCUUGAGCCCACUUUCAGACGGUCCCCUGCAAACCCGCGGGAAGUGGACCCCUGACCUCACCCGUCUCCUCAAAGUGUCACAUGUCAGCCAUGGCAUUCCCCUGUGUGCUGUUGGCUGCUGAACUGGUGUGCCUUAACUCCACAGGCCUCUUGGCUCCUGGCAGGCCUGAAUAGAUGAUACCAAUGCUGAUCUUCGGAUGAGGAACUACUUCAUUGUAAAAACAGGAGAGUGAGAGCAAGAUCCAACCGAAGAGAUAGAUGUUUAAGUAUCUAGCUGCAAAGGGUCUUGACCCCAGUUAGGUGCUUGGGUUACAGUGCCCGUGGGGUAUGGGCAGCUAGGCGGAGAGUUGCAAGGUGCUGGCCAGUAGAAAACACCAAGCAGAGCUGCCUCUGCAGAGCCUAGGCACCCAAGUCCAAGCUGUGAGUACCAGUGUUGUAAUAAGCUGCCACUGAGCAAGCAUUAUGAAUGGGGACCUGUCGAAAUCGUGAUUUCACAGAUUCUGCAAAUUCUGGCUUUGCCUGUGAAAUCCAUGGGGAAUAAAAAGAAUUACUGAAAAUAAAAUGAUGGCUGC
rnacentral:lncRNA from 1 species